rnacentral:rRNA from 1 species
UACGUAGGGUGCGAGCGUUAAUCGGAAUUACUGGGCGUAAAGCGUGCGCAGGCGGUGAUGUAAGACAGUUGUGAAAUCCCCGGGCUCAACCUGGGAACUGCAUCUGUGAUUGCAUCGCUGGAGUGCGGCAGAGGGGGAUGGAAUUCCGCGUGUAGCAGUGAAAUGCGUAGAUAUGCGGAGGAACACCAGUGGCGAAGGCGACUACCUGGCCUGUUCUUGACGCUGAGGCGCGAAAGCUAGGGGAGCAAACGGG